UACGUAGGGUGCUAGCGUUAAUCGGAAUUACUGGGCGUAAAGCGUGCGCAGGCGGCUUUGCAAGACAGAUGUGAAAUCCCCGGGCUCAACCUGGGAACUGCAUUUGUGACUGCAAGGCUAGAGUACGGCAGAGGGGGAUGGAAUUCCGCGUGUAGCAGUGAAAUGCGUAGAUAUGCGGAGGAACACCAAUGGCGAAGGCAACCCCCUGGGCCUGUACUGACGCUCAGGCACGAAAGCGUGGGGAGCAAACAGG
rnacentral:rRNA from 1 species